rnacentral:lncRNA from 1 species
UUUUUCUUGGGAAGGGUAAAAGGAGAAAAACCCUUAAAAAGUUCUAGAUUCGGGGGUCGUUUUCGCUACGGGAAGGUGUUAGGCACCCGGAGCGAUUAUGGUAUUCCAUAAGAACCGCUCUCCUAAGUUUAUUUCUACGCUUUAGUUUUAUUGCUUAUUUGUAAAAAAGAAGGUGUGAUUAGUUAAGAAUGGGGGUGAGAAGAAGUAGGAUUUGAUUUUAUUUCGGCUUGGAUGAGUUUUGACUCAUUGCCUACGUACCCUUUUAAGGGAUCAAAACCGUUCGUAG